AAAAAACCCAGAACGUGCUGUAUCUCGGCCAUUUCUGCUUGUGGUUUUGAUUAUCCAUGUUCCUUCUUGGUCCAAGCUCAAGAUAAGCGAGAGACGUUCUGCUUUACUGGGCAAAGUGUGCCACACAGCUAAACUGGCAAGCGAAUGAUGAGGACAUUCCAAUCACCCCAAGAAGGGACAGCUUUGGUUUACACCCAACAUGAGCUACGACACGUGAUCCAGAAGGAGCAUCGCAGGAGAAUUCAGUCACUAUGUGUUUCAGUCCGUUUUCUGUUGCUGUUACACAAUACCAGAGGCUGGGGGAUUUAUGAAGUAAAAAGGUUAUCUAACUCAUGGUUCUGGAAGGCGAGAAGCCCAACAGCACAGCAGAGGCAUCUGGUCAAGGCCUCCUGUCUCAUCAUAACAGGGCGGAAGGGCAAGUGAGCAUGUGUGAGACAGAGUGUGCAAGGCGGCCAGAUUUAUAACAAACCCACUCUUGUGAUCAUUGACCCACACUCACACACUACGGCUUUUCUUCAGCUCGUACAAAUCUAUUGCUUUUUACCAGUCCCUGUCCCCAGUGAUAGUAGCAACUGGGGGGCAUCACCUGACCUCUUGACACUGUCACAAUGGCAACUAAGUUUUGACACGGGCUUUGGAGGGGACACUCAGACCACAGCGGUAAGGGCGUUGUGCGUAUUUGAGAAACAUCUUUAAGGAGGACGGGCGACAUGGGCCGUGCACUGUGUAGCUUGACAGGAAUUGGGGCAGCGCCUGGGAUUCCCCCUGACACAGCUUUGAGCCCCAGAAAGCUCCAUUACUGAUCAGGAACCCCAAUACCCAGAGAAGGUGAGCAUCAUGGUGGAAGGUGGGGCGCUGUCGGCUCAGCAGGCCCCCAUUUUAAAUCCUGACCCCAUUAACGGCAGCUCCUGAUCAUCGACGUCCUCCUCUGUGCAGGUGUGGCCCGUGGCCUGACCCACUGGGAGCGACAGUCCUUCAAGGUGGGUGCUAGAGACUCGUUUGCAGAUGAAGAGACUGAGGGUCCCAGAGACAGGAUGUGAUUAGCUGUGCCAAAUGGCAGAGCCAGAAUCUGAAGCCAAGUCCACCCAACUCAAGAUCAAUGUUCUUUCUUUCUUUAUGAUUACUAUUAUUGGGUACCAGGGAUUGAGCCCUGUCCCCAGCCCCUUUUAUAUUUUAUCUAGAGACAGGGUCUCACUGAGUUGUUGCUCAGGGUCUCACUAAGUUGCUGAGGCUGGCCUCCACCUUGCGAUCCUCCUGCCUCAGCCUCCUGAGCUGCUGGGAUUCCAGGCGUGGGCCAUACGCCCAGCUCAGAUCCAUGUUCCUUCCGGCUGUUCACAGUCUCCACUCAAAGGUAGGGGUCACUGACCCCAUUUUGAGCAAACUGUGUGCUCACUAACCCCAAAUCUCUGCCAAUGGUUCCUCUGCAAGAAUCUCUGGACUUUGUACAAUGCCAGAGCUGGGGGCCGACCCGAGGACACCCCAACACAUAUCUGCCAAAUCCAUGUCUGACUCCAAAGUCAUGCCCUCUGCCCCCCACCAUCUCGCGGCUUCCUGAGAACUCCAGGAUGGGAAAAAUUCAAUUUUGAAAGUGCAAAUCCACUUAGGGGCCCCCCACCCAGGCUGGAUUUACGAAUUCCUUUCCUGUGGGUACUUUCAUGCUCACCAGAACACGACAAUAAAGCGAGCUUUCUGAA